CUCCCAAACAAGAGCAAUUAAGUAUUUGCGUAAGAUAUCCCCAUGGAAUGGACAUCUAUGAACGAUUUUUAGGAUUUGUUGACGUAUCAGAAAAGCAAACUGCAGACGCUUUGGUUUUAAAAUUAGUUGAAUUUUUAAAUACAUCUAAAUUAGAUAAAAUUCCCAUCAUAGGACAGGCAUAAUGUCAUGUCAGGUCACAUAGGUGUUCAAGCAAAAUUGAAAAUAGUUCACCCUCCAGCCCAAUGUGCAGUGUAUGUACAUUGUAUGGCACAUAAGAUUAAUUUAGUAGUUAUUGACAUGUGCAAGCACUUAAAAGAUGCUAGAAACUUAUUUAAUGCUUAAGAGGCACUGUUCAUUUCUCUCAUCCAACAAGAAAUGUGAAGCUUACUGAUUUACAACUUAAAUUGAAUAUGAAAAAGACAACACUCUCUCUGUUAAGUGACACUCGUUGGAUUUGUCGAUAUAAAAGCUGAGACGCAGUGAGAAAAAAUUUUAAUAGCAUAGCUCAAGUUUUAAAUGAUGAAAUGUAUGAUCAACAAAGUAAAUGUGUUGCCCAAGCAAUUGUAUUAUUUCAUUUUCUACAAUAUCAAAUUUUAAAUUUGAAGCCUAUUUAUUCAUUCUUCAUGAUAUUCUAAAAGUUGUUAAUAUAUUAAGUAUUCAACUUAAGUCAAAAUUAGCUACACUUGGAAAUUAUGCAAAUUUGACUAAAGGAGUAAUUGAUACAUUACAAAGUUAUCGUUUUUCUAUUCACUAGUGAACUGUGGGAAAAAAUGGUUGUAUUUUCAAAAGACAAUGGAAUUGAAAUUAAUUUUCCUUUUCAAGGUACCUAGAGUAUAUUAUAUUAUACUGUUAAUUAAUUAAAUAUUUAAAAUUCAAUAUGAUAAUAUCUUUUUUUUUAUAUUUAACUUAGGCGGCUUUAAAAGACAGAGAAGAGAGUCCACUAAUCUAAAAAAUUAUGUGGUUAUGUCAUCAACUUCAGCUGAAAAUAAUCACCUAAGUGAUAAUACAAGUACCAUUACAUUAGAACCAAAAGAAUAUUGGAAGAUACAUGCUUUUUAUCCAGUAAUAGAUACAAUAAUAUGUCAAAUGAAAGAAAGAUUUUCUGAAGAGAGCAUUCAAAUUGCAACGUGUGUGAUAACUUGUUAAAAUUAGACUUCGAAAGGGAUCAUCAUUACUUAUAAAUCGAUAUAAGGUUUUUUUUAUAUAUAAUUAAUGUUUUUCAAGUACCUAUAUCAUUCAAAAAUUGGCUGAAGCCCCCACAAUUGUUUAACUCUAAUUGCACCUAUGUUUACACAGCAAAUCAGGGAACAUUUUCAAUUUUUUUUGUCCGAGCGCAGCGCAGCAAGCGAGUGCCAACGCUAACAGAUUAUGUGCUUUUUAUUUUUUAACAACUUUGUUUAAUUCCGAGGCCUACCCAAGGUGGUUUUACACAACAAAUCAGAGCAUAUUUUCGAUUUUUUUUGUUAAAAAGCGUAAAAAAAAAUUAAAAUUUGUUAUAGCACUGCACGUUGCAGUCAAGUACUCAAGUUGCAUUGCACGCAUGUGUAUGAACGUAAGAUCGCAAACUUUGGAAAGCUAUAACUUCUAAAAUGAUAGUUUCCGGUAAAAAAAUGUACACCAUCGUUUUAAGCAUAAAAAACAUUUAAAAAUCGUGAGGGGCUAACCUGGUGAAGUGCAUUUGUUCCAAAGUAUUUAUAUUGUUUUGACAAUGGUUAAACUUUUUGAUCAUAAUUAAAAAAUAAUCCUACAUUGGUGAAUUUUGUAACAGAAAAAAUUAAAUUUUCUUCAUGUCUAAAAAAAAAUAGGUCUCACAAUUUAUUAAUUUGUUGUGCCCCCUCGGCCACCAAAGUCUGAAUACGCCUAUGGUAUCUACUAUAAAGUAUUUAUCAAUAUCAUAGGCGUUACAAUAUUAUUAUAUUUAUUAUUUUAAGUACUUACAAUAAAU